CCAGUCUCAUUGACUUCAAAUGGACUACUCACAUCAACAAAGUCAAAGUAUUUACUGGAUCUGUCCCUAAAAAUUGAAAAAGUGAGUUCAUCUAACGUUGCUAUAAAAACCUCACGAAUUUGUGUAAUCAUUUCUUGAACCUGGGAAAAGCCAUCAGAAUACACCUGUCAUAUUUUCACUAAGAUGAGAUACUUGAACAGGAUCUGUUUGAAAGCAAUACUGUUUGCAGUGUAAAGAGGCAGUUAAAUCUCAGACCAAGGUCAGUGCUUGUCUUUGGAGACCACAUUAU